UACGUAGGGUGCAAGCGUUGUCCGGAAUUAUUGGGCGUAAAGAGCUCGUAGGCGGUUCGUCGCGUCGGCUGUGAAAACCCGGAGCUCAACUCCGGGCCUGCAGUCGAUACGGGCGGACUUGAGUGUUGCAGGGGAGACUGGAAUUCCUGGUGUAGCGGUGAAAUGCGCAGAUAUCAGGAGGAACACCGGUGGCGAAGGCGGGUCUCUGGGACGUGACUGACGCUGAGACGCGAAAGCGUGGGGAGCAAACAGG
rnacentral:rRNA from 1 species